AUGCUUUCACAACUUGACUUCAAAAUAUUUGGUUUAGAGACCAUCAAAGAUCAAUAUCUGCAUGAUGCUGAUUUUAAAGAUGUAAUGCAUAAUUUUAAAGAAGGAAGAAUGUGGAACAAGUUUGUUGUUAACGAUGGAUUUGUGUUUCGUGCUAACAAGCUAUGCAUUUCAGCUAGCUCCGUUCGUCUUUUGUUGUUGCAGGAGGCGCAUGGAGGAGGAUUAAUGGGACACUUUGGCGUGAAGAAGACGGAGGACGUACUUGCUACACAUUUCUUUUGGCCAAAGAUGAGACGGGAUGUUGAGCGUUUUAUUGCUCGCUGCACUACAUGUCAAAAAGCUAAGUCACGACUCAAUCCUCAUGGUUUA
rnacentral:rRNA from 1 species